UACGUAGGCAGCAAGCGUUGUUCGGAGUUACUGGGCGUAAAGAGUGCGUAGGCGGUGUCGAAAGUUUGGCGUGAAAUCUCCCGGCUUAACUGGGAGGGUGCGGUGGAAACUGUGGUGCUGGAGUGUGGGAGAGGUAGGCGGAAUUCCUGGUGUAGCGGUGAAAUGCGUAGAUAUCAGGAGGAACACCUGUGGUGUAGACGGCUUACUGGACCAUGACUGACGCUGAGGCACGAAAGCGUGGGGAGCAAACAGG
rnacentral:rRNA from 1 species